rnacentral:rRNA from 1 species
CCUACGGGAGGCAGCAGUAAGGAAUAUUGGUCAAUGGGCGCAAGCCUGAACCAGCCAUGCCGCGUGCAGGAAGACGGCCCUAUGGGUUGUAAACUGCUUUUGAACAAGAGAAAACCUCGGUACGUGUACCGAGCUGAUAGUAUUGUUAGAAUAAGCAUCGGCUAACUUCGUGCCAGCAGCCGCGGUAAGACGAAGGAUGCAAGCGUUAUCCGGAUUCAUUGGGUUUAAAGGGUGCGUAGGCGGCCUGAUAAGUCAGUGGUGAAAUCCCUCAGCUUAACUGAGAAACUGCCAUUGAUACUGUCGGGCUUGAGUACAGAUGAUGUGGGCGGAAUAUGACAUGUAGUGGUGAAAUACUUAGAUAUGUCAUAGAACACCGAUUGCGAAGGCAGCUCACAAAACUGUAACUGACGCUGAGGCACGAAAGUGCGGGGAUCAAACAGGAUUAGAUACCCUGGUAGUCCGCACCGUAAACGAUGAUUACUCGUUGUUGGCAAUAUGACCGUCAGCGACCAAGCGAAAGCGAUAAGAAUCCACCUGGGGAGUACGCCGGCAACGGUGAAACUCAAAUGAAUUGACGGCGNGAGAGNGCGACGGACGCACGAGGGAGGAGG